UCCUUGGCUGAUACUCUCAUGACUUUUGUGAGUUUCAGAGAUGGACAGCAGCCUUGUCUUGCUCACAAGCCUUGGCAUUCAGAGAAGCAAGGUUGUUCCUGGGAAAUCACAAGGCUGAAGGGGUUUCCCCAUACCUGGCUUGGAGCCAUCUCUGAUAUAGCACAGGGGAUCAUGAGCAUCACAGGGUAGCAGGCCCUGCAAAGUCCUGGGACUGAGGUGCUCCUGUUGAUGAACCUGGCCCCCUGAACAAACCCUGUGCUAGCUAUCUGCUGCUGUACCAAAAUGCCCGAGAUCACUAAUACACAGGAAAAGGCUAUUUGGCUCAUGGUUCUGUGUUUCUCCACAGUAAGGUGGACUUCUCUGAGGUCACUUGACAUCUCUCUUAGGACCAGUGCUGCCAACUUCAGGUACCACACAUACCACUUCAUCAAAAUCAGCAAAAAGACAACAAACUUGGGAAGUGUCUUCAUCCGAGAGUGACAGAAGAUCCUCUCCCAGGGCCGUGGGGAGCAGGAGACACUGUGCCUAGUGCAGCAUAAGCUCUCACACAAGGCAGGAGCUGUCAUGGCUAUGGGGACACAGACCUGCCCAGCACAACCAUGUCACUGCGGAUACCAGGAAGGAUACUGAAUGAAGAAUGCUCUUUGUAGAAGUAAUUUUGUAAACAGCGAUCAUCUCCUGGAGACUGACUCC